UGGGGAAUAUUGGACAAUGGGCGCAAGCCUGAUCCAGCAACGCCGCGUGUGUGAAGAAGGCCUUCGGGUUGUAAAAGCACUUUUAUCAGGAGCGAAACGCUGUCGGCUAAUACCCGGCGGAACUGACGGUACCUGAGGAAUAAGCACCGGCUAACUUCGUGCCAGCAGCCGCGGUAAUACGAAGGGUGCAAAGCGUUAAUCGGAAUUACUGGGCGUAAAGCGUGCGUAGGCGGUUUCUUAGUCUGCUGUGAAAUCCCCGGGCUCAACCUGGGAAUGGCAGUGAUACUGGGAGGCUAGAGUGUGUCAGAGGGUGGUGGAAUUCCCGGUGUAGCGGUGAAAUGCGUAGAGAUCGGGAGG
rnacentral:rRNA from 1 species